ensembl:lncRNA
AUGUCAAUUUUGUUUUUUCUUUAUUUCGUUGUAUAUUUUAUAAAAGCAAAUAAUAUAAAUAAAAAUAUAAUAUUGUUUAAUAAUUUAUAUAACAAUAAAAAUUUGAAAUAUUUAAAUUCUGGAAAUAUAAAUGAUUGUUAUUUUUGGUAUUAUUUUAAGGAUGAUUUUUUUAACAUAUAUUAUUUAAAAAAUGGAAAAUGUAUUAUGAACAAUAAUAAAAAAGGACCUUCAUUGGUUUUGGAUAAUAUUAAUGACAUUACAACUGAUGACAUAAUGGAUGAAACUACUACUACUACUAAUACUACUACUACUAAUACUAAUACUAAUACUAAUACUAAUACUAAUACUACUAAUACUAAUACUACUACUAAUACUACUAAUACUACUACUACUUCCUCUUUAAAUCAUUAUAACAUACCUAAUAGCACAAAAUGGAUAACUACAGAUAAUAUAUGUACAAAUGAAAUAUUAAUUUUAUUAAAUAAAAAAAAAGUUUCUUGUAAAUCUAUAUCAUCAUUUAUCAUACAAGUAAAUAAUAAAACAAAAGAAAAAAAUAAAUAUAUUUUUAUCGAAUAUAAUGUUAGUAAUUUUAUAUUUAUAAUAAAUGAUUAUAUUAUUACUUAUAUUAAUACAGAUGUAAGAAAAAAUAUUUAUUUACUUUCUGAUAAUAGAAAAGAAAUAAUAAUAACAAAUAGUAGUGUUUUUAAAAUUUAUUUUAAUAAAACAUAUAUAGAGAAUGCUUACAUUAGAGUUGUUAAAAGUAGUAUAUCUCUAACAGGUGUCAGUAAAAAUAAUGCUGUUUUGUUUAUAAGAACAGGUAAUAAACCAUGUGUUACUAAAAUUAUUAUACAGUUACAUAACAAAUGUAAACCUAUUUUUUUUAUUAUUGUUGUAUCGAUUUAUGAGAUGGUAAAAUUACUUCCUAAUAAAACUGAUCAUGUAGAAGGAAGUAUGAUUAAGUUAGUUUUGUUAAAACUUGAUCAUACGAAAAAUUACAAUAAAAUUUACGAAAAAAAUAUUCCUAGUAAUAACCCAUGUAUAUUUUACAAAAGUAAAAAUAUAUUAAAAAUGUCAUCAGAAAUGAAAAGAAUAAGAGAAUAUCAUUUAAAUAUAAAUAUAUACAAAACAAAUAAUAUUAUAAAACAAAAUUUAGACCAUAUACAUUUAAUGACUUGUUUAAAAAAAAAUUAUGUAACACGUUUUAACAAUGAAUAUAAAAUUUUACCAAGUAAUGAUUAUACUAUUAUAUCUAAUGAAUUAAUAAAAUUAAAAAAUAAUUUGAAUAAAAAAGAGAUUGAAAUUGUUGUUAAAAAUGUACGAAGUCUUCAAAAAGUCUCAUCAGUCAUAUAUGUAUAUAAAAUGGAAGUUACUCAUAUGAUUUGUUUUUAUACUAUUUUUAAUGAUCAGGUCAGGCAUGUCACAACAGUGUCGCCGUCAUCGGUAAAAAGUAGUAGUGGUGGUGGUAGUAGUAGUGGUGGUAGUAGUAAUGGUAGUAGUAAUGGUAGUAGUAGUGGUGAUGACAGUAGUACCGAAAUAAGAACAACGAAUUACUUUCCCGUGCAUUGUAAAUACCCUUCAUCCAUCCAAUUAACAAUUUUAGAUAGAUCGUUAAACCAUUUACAAGUUAUUUAUGACAAUAAACUUGUUUUAUAUAAAAAUAAUAAUUUUUAUUUAAAAACAUUUUUAAUUGAUAAAAAUGAAAAUGUAAUACUAACAAAUGAUGAUUUUAUUUAUACUUUAGAAUCGUAUAUACCUAUUUUGAGUAAUGGUAAUAUAUGUUUUGAAAAUAAAUGGUAUUAUUUUUUAAAAGGAAAAAAAAAAAAAAAUGUUAUAAAAACAAAUAAUAAAGUGUUAGUAAAUUUUAAGAAAAAAGAGAAGGGAAUGUAUAUGUAUGAUAAAGAUAUAAAAUGUUGUACUCCAACAAUAAGUAUAAAUAAAUACGAAGAUACAGAUUCUUUUAUUUUAAAUAUAAGCUAUUUAUUUAAACGUGAACAGGUGGAAUAUAAGUUGGAAAAAACUAUUUUACUUCAAUUUAUAGAUAAUAUAAUAUAUAAUAUUUAUGAUAAAUUUAUUUUAUUUUAUUCUCCUUUUAUUUAUUAUAAAUUUCAUGUGUGUGUUCCUUUUAAUGACGGGGUUAGUUUGGGAAAAAGUUUGGAAUUGGCAUUUGAGGGUAGUAAUAAAGUAAACGUCUUAUUUUUUGAGGAGUUUAAUGUUGUUGUUGGUGGUAGUGGUGGUAGUAGUAGUGGUGGUAGUAGUGGUGAUAGUAGUAGUAGUAGUAGUAGUGGAGAGAAACAAAUUACAGUGGUUAAUUUAGACGACCCCCUUACAACAAGUGAGUAUGGAAUAACAACUUUCCCCCAAACACAAUGUAUUCCCAUAUAUAUAAAUUCGAGAAAAAAAACAGAUGGUAUUUUAAAAAUUAAAAAUAAAUUAGUAUAUGAAAUUGAAAAACUGGAAUUUUUUUUUUUCUUCCAGAAUAUUAGUAAAGUUAAAAUAUAUAUUUUAAGUAAAUUUGCAGAGAUAAAUAAACCUACAUUAGUAAGAGUAGAGUUCCUAAACGAAUUUAACAAAAGAUUUCAUUAUGUUCCUCUUAAACAAAUAAAUAUAAAAUUAGUUUCUGAUUAUAAUAAAAGAAUUAAGAUAAAACGAAUAAAUGUAUUUUCAAAAAAUAAAAAGAAUUUGUUAAAUGAAUUAAAAAAACAAUUUUUGUUAUUAGACCAAAAACAAUCUGACAGUUUCUAUUAUAUUUAUAGCACAUAUACAGGUAAGUAUUAUAUACAAUUUGAAGCGAUAUAUAAAAUAAAUAAUAAAUACAUAAAGGUUUUAUCUAAUGUAGUUUAUUUAAUUUUUUAUUCAAAGGGAUUAUUAUUAUCUCCAUCAUCAUUAUCACCAUGUAACAGUAACAACUUUGAUAAAUGUGACUCUAUAGUUUUAUAUCCUUCCAAUGAAACGGUAGAAAUUAUAGUACAAUUUGAUCAUCCACAUAUAUUGAGAGUAGUGUGUAUUUCAAAAAAUAAAGACAUAAUAAAAGUUGAACAUAUUUAUAAAUUAGAACAACCUGAGCAAAAAGGUUUAUAUGUAUGUUCUAUAAGAACGGGUACAACAGCUGGUAUAAAAAUGCAAAUCUUUAUUUAUCCAUUAUUUGAAAGUUUUUAUGACAUCUUUUGUAUAUCCGUACAUAAAUGGACAUGGAUUUUUGAAAAAAUCGAUUUCGAUUUUAACAAAAUAGAGCAAUAUUAUUAUAACUACUUUAAUUAUAACAAACGUAUUAAACAUGUAAGAAAUAAUUCCAAUACAAAUAGAAAUAUUGAUUAUAGUAUAAAUAUUUUAGACAAAGACGAUGAAAAACAUAUUAGGAAAUUAUAUUAUUUCCAAUUUAACAUUAUUGUAGAUUAUAUACAUUCUAUAAAAGUGUUUAAUGAACGCACAAUGUAUUUCAAAAAAAAUGAAGAAGUAAAUACAUUAGUCCAAUUUUAUAGUUACCCAUUAUACGAUUUUUCUUAUUUUUAUAUAAACUUUAAUAAUAUAUAUACAAAUAAUAGAUAUACUUACAAAUUAGAAUAUUUUAUUAAUAAUAAAAAUGUUACAUUGAAUGAUAAAUUAGAAUAUACAAGCUUAACUGAGUUAAAUUACAAAGAAAGUCAUACUGUACUUGAAAAAAAAAAAAAAAAAAAAAGAUAAAAUAGUUAUUGAUUUGGCAAAGUCUCCAAAUCCGUUUUUAUAUCUCAAAGCACAUAAAGAAGGAACAUAUUUAUUAUACUCUAAUUUAAUAAUUGCAGAAAAUCAGAAAGUUGUAGCUUCAGACGUAUAUACUAUAGUUGUAAAUAAUAAAAAAGGGAGUAAUAUAAAAUAUGAUCCUAUC